AUGGAGACGCUCCUGAUCGGCCCGUUGGUGAUCUUGGGGCUACAACUGACAUGGGUGAGCGGCCAGACAAAGCCGAAGCAGACUCCUCCGUCCCUGAACAUCCGGGAGGGGGAGAGCCCCACUCUGUACUGCAAUGACUUCGAGAAGACCAUUCGAUCUUUGCAGUGGUACCGGCAGGAUUAUGGGAAAAGUCCAGUCUUCCUAUUUCUACUGGCAUUAAAGAAUGAUGUAAAGCGGGACCGAAGACUGACUGCUACAAUCGAUAAAGGAAAUCAAACCAGCUCCCUGCACAUCAGGGAUGCCAAGCCCGGAGACUCAGCCACCUACCUCUGUGCCGUGGAGACACAGUGA